rnacentral:rRNA from 1 species
AUGGGAGGUGAUUAUGUUGUCAUAUCGGUCUUACUAUGCUUUUUGUGUAUAACUUUCCACCUCACCUUUGUUGAAUCGAUAGACGUAGAUGUCAAUCUCCAGACGAAUGAGAAGAACACCACUCUUUUAAGACCUAAGCAUUUCCAUUUUCCUUGGAGAGCUAAUAUCAUGGAUGAAGGAAGCGGCAUUAUUUCCCAUUAUGCAAUGUGGCACACAGAGCCAGGACAAUUCUACGGCCUUCGAGCUGACAUGAGUAUAUGGGCUUCACCAAAUCAAGGAACUUCUCAAGAAUCUGGAGCAUCCUUACAGAUCUAUUGUCAAGAUGGAGGAAACUACAACUUAAUUCAAGUUGGAUUUCAUAUUUCCCCCUCUUUAUACCAUAACAGAGAUAUUCGCUUCUUUACAUAUUGGACCAAGGACUUGAAACCGAAGGGGUGCUACAACUUGCAGUGCUCAGGAUUUGUUUCUGCAAGUCGAGCUAAUCUGGUGCCUGGACAAGCCAUGGCUCCUCCAUCAAUUUAUGGCAAACAAGACCACUACGUUAGGCUUAGCCUCAACAAGGAUCCAAAUUCCGGAGAUUGGGUGGUGUACCGUCAUGAUUUACAGAAACCAUCAUUCUUGGGACAUUUUCCAAAUAAGCUUUGCCCCGGAACACCACGUAUACAAGCCUUGACUGGAUUCGUGAAUUACUUGAAGAAUGCACAUGGUCCUCCAAUGGGUAGCGGCCACUUCCCCGAUUAUGACGAUAAGAGAUCUGCGUACUUCAAGCACAUUCAGAACUACAAUCCAAAUGGUCAUUCUUCCGACCUCUUUGGCAUUCCCAUGAUCAAGUUAGUUGAUAGGCCAGAUUGUUAUGGAGCGAAUAAUUUAUUUCUUGAAUAUAAGAAGGGUUAUAUGUUCAACUAUUGUGGACCAAGUGGUUGUGUUGGUUGA